UGUCGUGGCCACCGCUGCGCCUGCGCACUGUCUGGAGGCCUGGAGCUCCCUGGGAAAUGAGUACCAAACGGAGAUCAGGAAUUUCUAAGAGAAGUUAGGCAACUGACCACCUGCCAGUGAAAGGCAGGACCAAACCCAGCCUAACUUCCUUUUGUUUCCCUUCCUAUUUUUUGAGACAGGAUGCAAUUAGCUCAGACUGGCCUCUAAUUCCUGCCUCCAUCACCCCAGGUUUGGGAUAACACAGUUAUCCUCGCCAAGUUUUAUGGGUGCUGGAACUAGAAUGCUACUGGGUCACAUCUGCACACCGUCCCUUCUGGGUUUAGACAACUUGUGAGUUAAAGAUUCAAUCAUGCUGACUCACCGGUCCACCUGGGAAAAGUGUCAGCAACUGCUCCAGGUCCUUGUCAUGACAGAGGAGAGAAAGAGAGAGAGGAUCAUGGAGACACCCGGAAAUUGGUUCCAGGAGCAAAUGGGCUGCUGCCCACCCAAGCCCAGGCUGAUAUGGAUGUAGCCUUUCCUUUGACUCGACUCAACUGGAAUUUAACACUGCUGAAGGGGCAGCUGUGAGGGGCCUGGGCUGAAAUCUGAGCCAUCAGUGUCAGACACAAAUCACCAAAUGCCUACCUUCCCUCGUGAGCAAAUUACUUAGCUCAGUGGGUCUCCCGGGUUCCGAGGUGGCUGCUCUCCUGGACUCCAGCUGUCAGAACUACCCAUUGCCCCACAUUGACCCAGAAGCCAGAGAGCACCAGUCAGCUGUAAACAUGACUCUUGUUAACCAAGCUGCCCCUGACAUCUGUCUGAAGCUUCAGUACCUGGACAGCUUUGCAGGAAGGAAGCAUGGACUCACAAGCUCAACGGUCUUAAUGAGUCACUGAUGCACCCAGGAGCAGUCCCCUCAGCAGCCUCUGCCACCAGCGCCCUUGCCACAUCGGCUGCUCCAUCCGGCUGUGUCAUCCUUCCCUGUACCAUCCGGGCUCCUCCGAGGGAGCAACCCUGAGCAUGGCCUACCCUUUCUUCCUUCUCACCCCACUUUCUCGGCCUCGUUGUCUUUCUUCUCAAUUCUCAUGUUCAAGCAAUGGGCAUCAUUCCGAAAUGUCAUAGUCACACAAACACUGUGUGCCACACUGUAAUGGCUCCAGGUCCGCCUUUGGUAAGCUCCUAUUCAAGGCCCCAGCCACUAGAUGUGGAAGCUCCCUGCAAUCCUAAAAAAACAGAAGUGGAAGCAAGAACUGUGUCUCAAAAGCAAGACAGAACAAAAGCAAAAACUUAUAAUCCGUCUGUGUCAUAUUAACAGCAAAAAUGACAACUAAUACCCAA